rnacentral:misc_RNA from 1 species
ACGAGUUAGGGUCUCCUAGGCCCGAUCUCCCAACCCUUUGUUUAUUGAACCUUUGUUGCUUUGGCGGGCCCGUCUUCAUUGACCGCCGGAGGAUUAGCUGAGAGGCGUCCUCUGGCCAGUGUUCGCCGACGGCCAACUUAAAAUUCUGAAUAAAUCGUGUCUUUAUGUCUAAGUUAAUGAUUAAAUAAAAGCA